ensembl:lncRNA
GCUGCGGGACAUGGUGGCCAGGUGGUGUCACUCGCCAGUGUCUUGGCCUAAGAGAGGCGUUGGCCAAGCAGGGCCCGGAACUGUGUCCUAAUGGCUCUUCCGAGAUAUUGCUGGGCCCUGAGGGUUUCGUCCCCAUUUUAUUGAUGAGAAGACAGAGUCGCUGAAUACCAACGGGAUUUUCUAACGCGAAAGCAAGAUCACUAACACUUCUCACCUCCGCAGAGAAGGAAAUGGCAACCCGAUCCAGUGUUCUUGCCUGGAGAAUCCCAGGGACGGGGGAGCCUGGUGGACUGCCGUCUAUGGGGUCGCACAGAGUCGGACACGACUGAAGUGACUUAGCAUUAGC